rnacentral:rRNA from 1 species
UACGUAGGGCGCAAGCGUUGUCCGGAAUUAUUGGGCGUAAAGAGCUCGUAGGCGGUCUGUCGCGUCUGUUGUGAAAACUCGAGGCUCAACCUCGGGCUUGCAGUGGAUACGGGCAGACUAGAGUGCGGUAGGGGAGACUGGAAUUCCUGGUGUAGCGGUGGGAUGCGCAGAUAUCAGGAGGAACACCGAUGGCGAAGGCAGGUCUCUGGGCCGCAACUGACGCUGAGGAGCGAAAGCAUGGGGAGCGAACAGG